rnacentral:rRNA from 1 species
GAUGAACGCUGGCGGCGUGCCUAAUACAUGCAAGUCGAGCGAACAGACGAGGAGCUUGCUCCUCUGACGUUAGCGGCGGACGGGUGAGUAACACGUGGAUAACCUACCUAUAAGACUGGGAUAACUUCGGGAAACCGGAGCUAAUACCGGAUAAUAUAUUGAACCGCAUGGUUCAAUAGUGAAAGACGGUUUUGCUGUCACUUAUAGAUGGAUCCGCGCCGCAUUAGCUAGUUGGUAAGGUAACGGCUUACCAAGGCAACGAUGCGUAGCCGACCUGAGAGGGUGAUCGGCCACACUGGAACUGAGACACGGUCCAGACUCCUACGGGAGGCAGCUGUAGGGAAUCUUCCGCAAUGGGCGAAAGCCUGACGGAGCAACGCCGCGUGAGUGAUGAAGGUCUUCGGAUCGUAAAACUCUGUUAUUAGGGAAGAACAAAUGUGUAAGUAACUAUGCACGUCUUGACGGUACCUAAUCAGAAAGCCACGGCUAACUACGUG